AGUGAACGCUGGCGGUAGGCCUAACACAUGCAAGUCGAACGACAGCACAGUAAGAGCUUGCUCUUACGGGUGGCGAGUGGCGGACGGGUGAGGAAUACAUCGGAAUCUACUUUUUCGUGGGGGAUAACGUAGGGCCACUUACGCUAAUACCGCAUACGACCUACGGGUGAAAGCAGGGGAUCUUCGGACCUUGCGCGAUUGAAUGAGCCGAUGUCGGAUUAGCUAGUUGGCGGGGUAAAGGCCCACCAAGGCGACGAUCCGUAGCUGGUCUGAGAGGAUGAUCAGCCACACUGGAACUGAGACACGGUCCAGACUCCUACGGGAGGCAGCAGUGGGGAAUAUUGGACAAUGGGCGCAAGCCUGAUCCAGCCAUACCGCGUGGGUGAAGAAGGCCUUCGGGUUGUAAAGCCCUUUUGUUGGGAAAGAAAAGCAGCAGGUUAAUACCCCGCUGUUCUGACGGUACCCAAAGAAUAAGCACCGGCUAACUUCGUG
rnacentral:rRNA from 1 species